rnacentral:lncRNA from 1 species
GGAUACCAAUGAAUGAUGUGGUAGUGAAGUUAAACAAGAUCAAGUCAGACUACAGUUCGCAGUUCCCAACUUCAACCACAUCUGGGUGAUAAUCGAGGCAAUCUGAUCAGCAAGAACUGGGAGGAUAUUAAUCAGUAGGGGCGUGCCCCUCCUGUUUCAUCCAAAAAAAAAAAGAACUGGGAGGAUAACCAACAGUUUUCAAUCACCGGCACGAGUCAGCAAGAAAUAAAGGCUUCAGUUCAGAAGCACUGGCCACAAGCAUUCAAUUGCCAAGGCACUCAAAUCACAGAAAUAGCAAUUGUGCAGGAUUGGAACAUCAAGAAAGAUCGGGAUUGGCAUAUUUUUCCAGUGCAAGUGCAGGCAGAAGGUGGCUGCAACCUUAUACCAUUCCAUAGGAAACGAAGGGUUGCAAUUUAUGGUCUUGCCUAAAGAAUAGCACAUUACUGAUAUAGAAAAAGUAAUGAUGUAAAAUUGUACUGCUGUUUCAACCGCUGCAAUCAUAAAAAGGUACAAAAUAAUAAUAAAAAAAGAUGCUAACAUCCACAAACCUUAUUUUCAGUUUUCUGGCAUUGUUGUGGGUUGCAUCCGAAGGGCAGGAAAGCAACGAUUAGUAGUCCACCUACUGACCUAGGCCGACUCCACUAAAACCCA